CGGCAUAAAAGUCUCGUUUCUUCUACCACGCCGGUGAUUUUCCCCCAAAUUCUCCGGCUUAAAGAUGGAAAGCAGUAUAAAGGAUGAACUAUACUCUGACAUUUUCGAUAUGUCAAAUCUUCAAUCAAGUCUUAGGCCGACUACCAAUUUGGGAAACGAUGAUCCACAUGAGAGCGAGUGGUGCGACGUGUGGAGUGAUAAUGGAGAUUCGUGCGAUGAUUCUACUGAUAAACCGGAUAAAACAUCUGAAAUGGACAGGGAAUGGCAGAGGCGGCAUGACCGAUUCCACACUGUCGGAUACCGUGAGGGUCUUAUGGCAGGGAAAGAAGCUUCAGUUCAAGAGGGGUUUAAUGUUGGCUUUACGGACUCUGUAUAUGUUGGUUACAACUGGGGUCUUGUCAGAGGUAUAACUAGCGCUUUGGCCUCACUUCCCAACGGCUUAAUAGAAAGAAUGGUUGAUACAAAGGAAAUCCAGAAUAAGUUCCAGCAGUUACAUGACUCUGUGCAAUCUCGUUCAACAGUGGAAAUGCUUAAGGUGUUUUAUGAUGAUCUUACAAGGAAAUCGGAAGAGAGUGCUAAAAAUGACAACUCUAGCACCUGCUUGGCGGAUUCCAGAGACCUCAGCUCCAAUGACAGUCUUCUUGAGAAUUACCAGAAAGAGCUACAAUCACUUAUUAAUGAAUCAG
rnacentral:misc_RNA from 1 species